UUAGUGCUGGCUGCUGGCGAGUGUGGGCAGUGGCGACGUCUAAGACGAGGUCUGCUCACUCAUGUGUGUGGAAAUCGUGCUCUGAGCAGGGUUGGGGGAGCAGAAUGGGACCCGGUUCCACCUCCUGCUUUUUUUGUGAUUUCACACUACCCGCUUCUGUGAGGCUGAACGCUUUAAAAUGCCCUUGACUGCCAAGCCGGCACUGUUUUUAAAAAAAUCUGCUUGCCUCUCCUUCUCCUACAAACUGGUAGAGGAAGAAGCAGGUCAGUGGCAGAUUCUGUGGCAGAGGCUGCCCUUGGCCCGUUCUCUCUACAUUCCUUCCAUGGUCCAGAAGUUUGAGCUGGAGACAUAACUUCCCAGGAUAAAGACAUGUCCCAGCCUCCUGAAAGCAGGGGGGCCACCUGACUGCGUGGUGGCCCGGGUCCCAGCUGGGAUGUCAGAUGGCAACUGCUAGGACCCUUGUUUUCAGAGGGAGCUGGUGCUGCCCUAAAGGAAAACCCCCGUGCGUCUCCCUUACUCACCCCGCUCAACUUGCCUUCACUUCCACACCAGAUGUGUGGGGUUCCCAUACAUGCACCAAGCAACUCUGGCACCAGCUGGGUGUCUGCGACUUAACUCAGCUCGUGUCAGAUCCCACAGCUCACGGGCUCAGUCCCACAAGGCCCCCCACCCCCCACUUCAGACACCAACUGCCAGUCCCAGGUUCUCACCCGUGCUUCUGACGGGCAGGCUACAAUCACGGUUCUUACGGCCCUCUUCUUGGGUUUGACGAUUUGCCAGGAUGGCUCAAAGAACUCAGGGAAGCCCUUAAAGUUUGUCUUUUUAUUAUAUACUUGAGGGCGUGAUGAAGGAUACGGGAAGAGACACAUGGGAGAGGUCCAGAGGGGUCCCGGGCGUAGGGGCGCUGGCCCUGGGGCGUGGAGGUGGUCGCCCUCCCUGUGUGUGGAUAUGUUUGUCAACCUGGAGACUCCCCGAAUCCCCCACUCUUUGAGGACUUUCAUGAACACUUCUUCCUGUAGGUAUGAUCAGUUAUUAACUCAAUCUCCAGCCCCUUUCUGAGCCUUCCCAGAGGAUGGGAGGCGGGAUUGAAAGUUCCAACCCUCUAAUGAUGGUGUGGUCUUUCUGGGCCAGCCCCAUCCAGGAGCCCACCGAAUGCCUCUUCAGAACAAAAGACACUCUUACCACCCAGGAAAUCCCAAGGGACUUAGGGGCUGAGUGUCAGGAACUGGGGUCAAAGACCACGCAUUAGAACAAGGGAUGCUCCCAGUGUUGGCAUUUAGGAAGUUACAGGGAUUUCAGGGGCCCUGUGCCAGGAACUGGGGGCAGAAACCAAUGUAUAUAUAUAUGUUCUAUCAUUUCACAAGGCCCCUUAUCUUUCCCCCCUCCCUCUGCCCUGCUUCUUGGAAUAUGGCCACGAUGGCCGGUGCUCCAUCUUAAAAGGACAAGGGCCACGCACAACAGGGCAACAAGCCUGCGUCCCUGACGCCUCGGACCCCCUGCCAGCUCAGGACUGUCCACUCCAAUGUGGUGUGAAGGAGGAAUAAACCUCCAAUGGCUUAAGCACUAUUAUUUUGAGGAUGAUUCCCAGUUAAACCAAUGCCAACUGAGGCCGAUGAGAAGAGGAACUGUUUUGUACGGAGGGACCAGAUAACGAGUUCCAUUGCCCAGGAUGGGGUUCCACGUGGAAGUACUGUCUCUCACUGCCCGGCUCCUUCCCCUGGCAUGGGACCCUCCGAACCCACCUUACUGUGCUCUGCAGGGGUGAGCCUGCUGAGGGCCUGUGCCCAGCACGGGCAGUUCCGGCUGCACCCGGAGCUGUGCCCGUGCCACCUUGCCAGCCAUCCUUCAGGACGGCCUCCGUCUUAAUUGCUGUGCCCUUCGUGCCACAGGGCGGAGAAGCGCCUUGUCAGAGUGUGAAAGUGAGUAGAUGAUGGGCAAAUGGGAACCAAAAAUUUGUUUCAGACUGCAGUGGACACCUCUUAAAUGACCCGUGGGGAUAGGCCAACGCCCGAACCACUGUUUAUGUGUUUAUCUUAUGUUAUUCACCCGUUUCUGUUAAAAGGAAGUAAGAGAGGUUCAGGGAAUCUGUAAGGAAGUAGUUCAGGUGGAAUUAAGGAUAACUAAAUUGAUAAUCUACUGUCUUUUGACCUCUUAAGACGGAAAAAUUCUGCAAUCUGUACCUUCCUCUCAGAGAAUAUUUUACACUCACUAACUGCACAACUUUGGUGCUGUGAAGAAAAGGAGAAGGUGAAUUCUGAUCGUAUGAGCCUCUGGGAACACAAGGAAUUAAGGGACAUGGCUAGUUUAGAAUGUAAUCCUUUCUUAAUGAGAAACCUUAAAAAAAAACCCAAGCAACCUCCGCAGUCCCAUCAAGGCUUUUACCAGCAGCUACUGCCACCUUUGGGGCCAUUAGGAAACACAUUCAAGUCCUUGGGCAAAUUAUAAAGCGUCACUCUCAGGAAUUAUGAAAUUAACAAGUCUUUCUACUUUAAAAUAUAGGGUGAUGAAUCAUACUGUA